UACGUAGGGGGCAAGCGUUGUCCGGAAUCAUUGGGCGUAAAGAGCGUGUAGGCGGCCCGGUAAGUCCGCUGUGAAAGUCCAGGGCUCAACCUCGAGACGCCGGUGGAAACCACCUGGCUAGAGUCCGGAAGAGGAGAGUGGAAUUCCCGGUGUAGCGGUGAAAUGCGCAGAUAUCGGGAAGAACACCCGUGGCGAAGGCGGCUCUCUGGGACGGUACUGACGCUGAGACGCGAAAGCGUGGGGAGCAAACAGG
rnacentral:rRNA from 1 species